rnacentral:rRNA from 1 species
GACGAAUGCUGGCGGCGUGCUUAACACAUGCAAGUCGAACGGAAAGGCCCUGCUUGCAGGGUACUCGAGUGGCGAACGGGUGAGUAACACGUGGGUGAUCUGCCCUGCACUUCGGGAUAAGCCUGGGAAACUGGGUCUAAUACCGGAUAGGAGCCAUUUUUAGUGUGAUGGUUGGAAAGUUUUUUUCGGUGUAGGAUGAGCUCGCGGCCUAUCAGCUUGUUGGUGGGGUAAUGGCCUACCAAGGCGGCGACGGGUAGCCGGCCUGAGAGGGUGGACGGCCACAUUGGGACUGAGAUACGGCCCAGACUCCUACGGGAGGCAGCAGUGGGGAAUAUUGCACAAUGGGCGCAAGCCUGAUGCAGCGACGCCGCGUGGGGGAUGACGGCCUUCGGGUUGUAAACUCCUUUCGCUAGGGACGAAGCUUUUUGUGACGGUACCUAGAUAAGAAGCACCGGCUAACUACGUG